GUCUCCAUCUCUAAAGUGUGAAUAAAGAAAGUGAUUAGAUGAGUGAGAGCAUAAAGAAUGGUGGCAAAUAAACAGAAGGAAAGGAAAUGAAAGGAAAGGAGUUAGCUUCACCCAAAAAAGAAAACAUAGAUAUUACAAUACAAAGCGGAAGACCCAGUAAAUAAAAUUUGAAAAAGAAAUGAUUUUUACGACUGAUUGCAAGUGUUGGUUACUCUGUUUUGAUUCAGUGAUUUAGAGAGAGUGAGAGAGAGAGAGAGUAAUAUUAAUCUAUUAUACAUAACUCACCUUGUACCUCGAGCCUAGUUCAUUUACGCAAAUAAGUUGCUGGAACAAUUUUAAUUUUUAAGCCAUGCCACAAUAAGUCACCUACCUUCUGAUGCUCCAUUUCCAGAUGUGCAAAGAUUUCAUUCUUGGGUCCAACAUUCGUGUAACAGGAAUUGUUGCCGGCUUUUAGCUGAUUCAGCCAACAAGAGAUUUCUGCAGCAGAAACAUGAGAUCCAACAUGAUGGAUAUCAUCAACAAAUUCAGAGACUGGAAUAUGGUUAGUUCAAUGAGAUAACCAGUAACAUAUCUAAACCCGCUCUGUAGGUAUCGGUUGUGAACUGAGAAGUCUCUCAGCCUCAUCAUUUGCUUCAGCUUGUAGUCUCCAUUUCUGCAUUUAAAAAACAAAAAGGUAAUGGAUAAUUAUAAAUGCCCUGCAAAAUGCAAAAGGCAAACAGAGUUGAAAAGAAAUUUGUAGCGCACCAAAAAUUGCACAGGAAAACAAUUCAAAACUAUAUCAAGAAUUUGCCUACAACCCACUCUAUCAUUCUGAACUCCAUCUGGGCCACAAACUAAGUUACCAAUAAGUAAAGUCUUCAUAAGAAAUUGAAUUCCAUAAGAACCCUUAGAAUUGACUACGGUAUCUGUAUACUAUAAUUCUGAGAAAUCCUUUUUUCCCCUUAAAUUUUGUAAAAUCAUUGACUGAAACUGGACUUAGCAAAUUCUAAUAUAGCCAUUUACAAUUACAUUCCACGCAGAUUGUUUUAAAAAAAAAAAUUAAUGAACAUGCCUCUUCAAGAUUUUCCAGCUCCAUUAGUUGUUCUAUCUGUUCAGCAAUGCUUUCCUGCAAACAAGAAUCACUGGCUCAAGUAAUUUUAUAUAAUUUAGAGAAGAGAUGAGACGGGAUAAAUAAACAAGUAUCACGCACUGCAUUGCUCACUGAUUCAGCAGCAAGAACAUCAGAGUCCAUUUCCACUUCAAUUUCAAUCAUUGAAGAAAUUCUUGCAUAGCUGUCAAUGAGUUCUAUCCGUCCCUUGAGAGAACUUUCUAAGCCUUCUCGGACCCUUUUGACCCUAGUUCUCCGAGCACUGAAUACAAAGAAAUGAAUCCUUUAGAUUAGUGAACAGAAACGAGACUAAACAAAGAUUCACACUGAGUGCAGUAAACAUGUAUGGACUGUGAUAUACACGACACUAGGAAUGUCAAUAGGGUUGUACCGAUAAGAAGGUUCCCCAACGGCAAAAAUUUUGUUCUCCAGCUGAGACAUCCGAGCCAACAUCCAAACCUACAAAAGCAACAUACUGAUUUUUUACAUAGAAUUUUAUAGACUAUAUUAGUUCUGUAUGAAAUACUGAGCAUUGCUCAAAUUUAGAAUUUAUUUGUAGAACUCAAUUAAAAGUUUAAAUUUGACAAGGUUCAGACAUGCAAAUCAGCAAGUGUGUGUAACUAUAUCUUCUUUUGAAUUUUCAAGUGUAUAAUGGUGGAACUUGAAUUGACGAAUUGCAGACACAUCUUACAAUCUCAGACGGCACAGCUCAUGUGAGAAUACUGCAAUUACAACAUUUGGGAGCAUACCUCUUUUUCGGCAGCUUCUUUUAGGUCCUUGAUGCGAGACUGAAGCACAUCAUAUUGAGAUAACAGCUGCUGCUUGAUAGCAACUGCAUCCACUGAUCUCUGAGGAAGCUGAUUCAAUUGGGGGAAAACCAAUGUAUUAAACGUAGCUCCAACACCAAGAGAUGCAAUGGCAGCAACUGAAAGGAAUUGAGGCAGGCUGGGAUCAAUAAUUCCAGAUGCAGCAUCUCCAGUAGCCAGAACAGCAAGCAGUGGAAUGAGGACAGUUGGGUCAAGCAAAGAUAACUUUCCAUCUUCUAUAGGGGCUCUUAAUAAAGGUGUCUCUCGACCAUUUUCAUGGUUUGUUAGGCACAAAGGUUCACCAGGGUAAGCGUUGGGGACCUUUGGACUAAAUUUAAAGGGGCCCACAUUUCUAUAAACAUUUGAUGGAGCAGAAGCAAUGGUUACUCUUUCUCCUUCUUGUGCUGGAAGAUCAACUGUUUCAGUAGCAAAUCUGUGCGUACGAGCCAUCCCAGAAGGAGUUUGUAUCUGAAAUGCAUAGAAAUGAUUACUAGAGGUCAAAGGGAACAAGUUCACAACAAAGAUAAGGACAGGUUCAGUAAAGGAAAACAAAUGGAUCUACUUUGGAGACCAAUCUCUUUGCUAAUGGAGGUUAUUCUACUGAAACAAAUAAUGAGAGAGAAGCUGAGGAAACAAAGCAACGAAAAGGAAAGAAAAAAAAAAUGGCAUUGCAUCAAUUAUCUUCUAAACUGAACCAACAAACUGACUUCUGGAUUAGAAAUUAUAACAUCUAUGAACAGUCCAAGUUUCUUUUACCAAGCAAAAAGGCACAUUUGGUAGCCACCGAAAUAACUAUUAACAAAAAGAGAAAGUCAGAUUCCAUCUAGGAUUUAGAUAACGUUUUCAACCUAAAGAACAUGAUCACUGAUGCACACAAAAGUACAAGCAUCAUAGCAAAUUAUCUUCUCAUACCACCUCUUACAAUUGGCCAAAAAAUGAAUAAGGUUUGCAUAAUAAGUUAGUAGGUUAUAAAUGUCUUGCUCCCAUGUAAUCUAAUUUUUCUGAAGUAAGAAGAAACCUAACUUAAUAAAAGGGUAAGAAAUGUGAACUCUGAAUUGACACUCCAAAUAUUUUUAAAAAAUUAAAAAUAAAAAAAUUAUACCACAAUGGAAUGAACAGCUGCAGGAAUGCUUCGCUUCAUUAGCUGCAAAAAUCGUAGCCCUCUUUCCCAUGCUGGAAGUUCCUUGCUGAUUUCUUCUGAGUUUAUAGUAAUUAUAUCCCCAGAAACAAGCUCAUACUGGUAACGGCACUUGGCACAAGAUGCAAUCUGCAGCAAAUGCAUUAUGUCUGAAUGCCUUGCUGAGGUUGUGCGACAGCAACAGCUACCAUACAAGUUGGACAUCUCACAACCUUCCCAAAAGGAACCUCUUCAGCAGGAGAUACUCCCACUCGGCAAAUAUAAUCAAUCGUCUUAAGUGCAUCUGAAACCUUCAAAGAUGAAGCAAGACCCUGAACCAAUGUAGUGUAAACAUUCACAUCUGGCCUCGACCACUGCCAUCUCUCAACCAGAAGGCCAUUCUCACUAACACCUACUAGCGCAUAUAAAAAUUUUCCUAAAUUUCUCUACGUUCAAUCACUAAAAGAAAAAAAGGAAGUGUUAGAAACGGAAAGGACCUUGAUCGAAGCUGGAACGCAUGGCGUAGAAAACAGACAAGGCAAGCCCAGCAUUGUUACGAUCAAUCGCGUCGAUUAUAAUGCGGCAGCAAUCGGAAACACUAACGACGCCUCUACUUGUGUUAGAAAUUUCGGCGAUUAUCUGCAAAGCUUCAUUGGCGUCUUUAGCAGCAGAGACACGAGCAAGUAAAUCCUCGUUGUUUGACAGCAGAAGGUCGGGAACGGAGUUGUCCUCGCUCAGUGAAGCUCUUGCUUUGAAGGCUCUGGAAGAGGAAAAAAUUGAGUUUUUGAAGCCAGCGGGAGUGGCUAGCAAGAGAGAGAAGAGAACGCAAUUAGAUUUUGGAGAGGGUUCGGGGAGUUUAGGGAGGUGAGAGAAGCGAGAGAGCCAAGGGGAGCCAAGGUUCAGAGACAUUUUUAUUAUUUUUUGGGGCUCAGAAGUUAAUGUGAAUGGUGAGGCCUGUGUUGUUAUCUUUUUGGUGGUUUUUUAAGGAGGAAGGGGUGAUAGGAUGAAGAGAUUAAGAACGAGAGGCUCGUAGGACAGGCUAAGUGUGGGACCAUUUGUCUUUUAUUUUAGGCAAUGACCAAUGAGUCAAAAACUGAAAAAUCAAUGGAGCAGCGGGAAUAAACGCCGUUCCUCUCGCAUUGCGUGCGAAGCAUAUUAUGAACUACAACCCCUUGGUGCACACAGCCUUUAGCUUUUAACAGUUUUUUUUUUUUUAGCAAAAGAGAGAUCCUUCGCAUCAGACCGACCUAGAUACAGAUGCAAAAUGCGAUAGAAGAUCCUCGAAGCAAACAAGUUCAUGCACAGAACAUUCAUGAGUUUCUUUAGCUGCAUGGUGAGCCAGCUCAUUGGCUGACUGACUAACAAAUUGGAAACUAACGAACUGCAGGCUUGAAUCUUUAUCAUGUAAGCGGAGAAACUUGAUUUUCACCCUCAAGUGCUGUGAUAUAUGGCAGGGAAUCACUCCGUCUAUAGCCAAAGAAAACCGGCAUCUCUAUGUCAACACCUUAAUUUAUCGCGAAAAUACCUGUCAAAGCCGAAUCAAAAUCGACACAUAUACGCUAUGAUGCUGCCCCCCAAGACUUCUCCCUUGCUGUAGCGAAUCAUCCAAAACAAGGGCGACCCAACUGGGAACACGUUCAUAAUUAUAUUAAUUAAAUUAUAUUA
rnacentral:misc_RNA from 1 species